rnacentral:lncRNA from 1 species
AUGUCAGUUACGUUAUGUCGUACAAAUGACUUCACCAUGCAGCAUGUUAUGGACCUAAACUAUCAUAUAAUGGACCUACCCUAUCAUGUUAUGGACCUUCCCUAUCAUUUUAUGGACCUAACCUAUCAUGUUAUGGACCUACCCUAUCAUGUUAUGGACCUUCCCUAUCAUGUUAUGGACCUACCCUAUCAUGUUAUGGACCUAUAUGUCAUGUUAUGGACCUACCCUAUCAUGUUAUGGACCUACCCUAUCAUGUUAUGGACCUACCCUAUCAUGUUAUGGACCUACCCUAUCAUGUUAUGGACCUAUAUGUCAUGUUAUGGACCUACCCUAUCAUGUUAUGGACCUACCCUAUCAUGUUAUGGAUCUAACCUAUCAUGUUAUGGACCUACCCUAUCAUGUUAUGGACCUACCCUAUCAUGUUAUGGACCUACCCUAUCAUGUUAUGGAUCUAACCUAUCAUGUUAUGGACCUACCCUAUCAUGUUAUGGAUCUAACCUAUCAUGUUAUGGACCUAUAUGUCAUAUUAUGGACCUACCCUAUCAUGUUAUGGAUCUAACCUAUCAUGUUAUGGACCUACCCUAUCAUGUUAUGGACCUAACCUAUCAUGUUAUGGACCUACCCUAUCAUGUUAUGGACCUACCCUAUCAUGUUAUGGACCUACCCUAUCAUGUUAUGGACCUACCCUAUCAUGUUAUGGACCUACCCUAUCAUGUUAUGGAUCUAACCUAUCAUGUUAUGGACCUACCCUAUCAUGUUAUGGACCUACCCUAUCAUGUUAUGGACCUACCCUAUCAUGUUAUGGACCUACCCUAUCAUGUUAUGGACCUACCCUAUCAUGUUAUGGACCUACCCUAUCAUGUUAUGGACCUAAACUACCAUGUUAUGGACCUACCCUAUCAUGUUAUGGACCUACCCUAUAAUGUUAUGGACCUAUGUGUCAUGUUAUGGACCUACCCUAUCAUGUUAUGGACCUAUAUGUCAUGUUAUGGACCUACCCUAUCAUGUUAUGGACCUACCCUAUCAUGUUAUGGACCUACCCUAUCAUGUUAUGGACCUACCCUAUCAUGUUAUGGACCUACCCUAUCAUGUUAUGGACCUAUAUGUCAUGUUAUGGACCUACCCUAUCAUGUUAUGGACCUACCCUAUCAUGUUAUGGACCUACCCUAUCAUGUUAUGGAUCUACCCUAUCAUGUUAUGGACCUUCCCUAUCAUGUUAUGGAUCUAACCUAUCAUGUUAUGGACCUACCCUAUCAUGUUAUGGACCUACCCUAUCAUGUUAUGGACCUACCCUAUCAUGUUAUGGACCUACCCUAUCAUGUUAUGGAUCUAACCUAUCAUGUUAUGGACCUACCCUAUCAUGUUAUGGACCUAUAUGUCAUGUUAUGGAUCUAA